AUUGAACGCUGGCGGCAGGCCUAACACAUGCAAGUCGAACGGAGUGGCGGACGGGUGAGUAAUGUCUGGGAAACUGCCUGAUGGAGGGGGAUAACGUCUGGAAACGGGCGCUAAUACCGCAUACUAUCAGAUGAGCCUAGGUCGGAUUAGCUGGUUGGUGGGGUAACGGCUUACCAAGGCGACGAUCCGUAACUUGUCUGAGAGGAUGAUCAGGCAAACGGGAACAGAGAAACGGUCCAGACUCCUAGGGGAGGGAGCAGGGGGGAAUAUGGGAAAAUGGGGGAAAGCCUGAUGCAGCCAUGCCGCGUGUGUGAAGAAGGUCUUCGGGUUGUAAAGCACUUUAAGUGGGGAGGCGUUACCAGCAGAAUAAGCACCGGCUAACUUCGUGCCAGCAGCCGCGGUAAUAC
rnacentral:rRNA from 1 species